rnacentral:lncRNA from 1 species
AAAACCAGCAACUCCAAAGCAUGCUCUUAACACUGAAAGGCCGACUGGUAAGAGGAAAUAUGUGAGAAAGAAACCUCUCAGCAAAGCCCCCACAACCAACUUAGCAGUAUCUACAGAAAUCCCAGCAGGCAAAAGGAAGUAUGUGCGACGAAAACCACUCAACAAAAUCUCAACUCCACCAGUGGAAGCAACUGGAAAGUCUGUCAGUACAAUAUCAGUUGAGCCUGCCAAGAAGUCAUGCAGGAGGUCCUUGAACUUUUACACUGAAGGACAGCCUAGAGACAACAAUUCCAAAUGUAAGCUUAAUUCUGAUGAAGAUUCUCAACUACAAGCACAUGAUGUUGGGGAAGGAAAUCAAUCAAAAUCAAUUGUGACUGUAGGGAAUGGAAUUGAAGUGAUAGUGGAAACUACACAAACAGGCAUUGCAUAUGAUCUAAAUCAUUCUGUUAAUCAAAAGCUUCAAGAUUACCUCGCAUUGCCUGAAAAACAGGCACCAAGCACACCAGUAUAUGCAAACAUUGACCCUGCAAGGAGAAUAAGGAACAACAAUUCCCAAGAGAGCCCUGCUGAAAGAGAAGGCCAGGUGACUACUCACAGUGUACAGCAGAAUGCUGCACAAAGCAUGUUGCAAACUGACAAUCAAUUGCCACCAAUCAACCCAAAUGACUCCAUCUGCGGCAAAUACACAACUUUGACCAUGGAAGGACAAUCAAACGGAUCAAAGAGGAAGGUUUUCAGUUGCAUUCAACAGCCAGGCACCUGCAACACAAAUCUAACUGGAAUUUUCUGUAAUGCUUUACCUCAAUAUCAGGCAACAUCUGAGUUCCAAGUUCCAAGCAAUUUCAAGAAGAGGAGGACUGAAAAGGCACAUAUCGCCA